UGAUGAUCGGGAAUAGCUUAAAGCAUGCAAAAAUCUUUACCAGGAGCUUGUGGGGUUUCAAACAUUCAUGUCAUUAACACGUGUGAAAUGUGAGCAAUAAUUACUUCCUGCACUGCAAAGUUAUUGAGAAGUUUCAAGGCAUACAGUUCUGGGUGAUGAGAAGCAAAACUGAAUGAGUAGAAGAAAUGUGAUCAGAAAAACAAUAAGAGCACGCCUUGAUCUGUUUGCAGGGAAAAGGAAGAGAGAUCAGAGAGGAGUAUGACUUGAUGAAUCAGGUGAAGUUAGGACCUAUCAAGAUAGUGUACUGAAAGGCUUAUUUAGGAGCUGAAACUGAAAAUACCAAAAGAAGCCUUGUCCAGUCAUUAUGACAUGAGAUUCUGGUAGACUUAUUGAUGACAUCUGCUGAGAAACGUGUAUUUAUUCUUCUGUCAAGAGACAGAAGAAAAUAUAUUAUAGAUUUCCAUAUCAUGGAUAUAUUUGGUCAGCAAAUUCAAAACUUUACUUCAGAAGUGAUAUAUGUGUGCUUGCACACAUAUUCAGCAUAAGCAUUGAGCUUUCAAAAGACUUCAAAUGAAUUUCCAAAUCCAAUGAAAAUUUUGUCUGAUAUUCAACAUGCUUAAAAAUUGUGAAGGUUUAAAAAAAAGGAAGGAACUAAUUAAAAACUUUUACCAAAAGGCUGUUUUAGAAGAGAACUUUGGCAAUCUAAAGAUGGUAUUAGUAAGUAAAUUCACACAUCAGCAUUCUGCAAUAGCUAAGCAGAGGAAAAAUAAAGAUAAAAUUAUAUCCAAUGUGAGUGUAAAGUAGCAACCAGAUUGUGAGCUGACAUUGCAGAGAUAUAUAAAAAAGGCCUAAACGUUCUGAAUUUAAUUCCAGCUAUCACAAAUUAGGCUAUGCCAGAGUUGUACCAAGAGAGAG